CCUACACAUCUUGUUUCGGGUGCCCUUCACAGGGUGAAACGGGAAACCGGUGAGUCAUGGCGUCAUGACGAGUCCGGUGCUGCCCCCGCAACGGUAAGCGAGUGAAGCGUCAGAUCCACUGUGCCUGUACGGCAUGGGAAGGCGACGCUUUAUAGACCCAGUGUCCCUCGCAAGCCCGGAGACCGGCCCGAAUAACAUCGAAUAA
rnacentral:ncRNA from 2 species